GACGAACGCUGGCGGCAUGCCUAAUACAUGCAAGUCGAGCGAACAGAUGAAGUGCUUGCACUUCUGACGUUAGCGGCGAACGGGUGAGUAACACGUAAGGAAUCUACCUAUAAGCGGGGGAUAACAUUCGGAAACGGGUGCUAAUACCGCAUAAUAUCUUCUUCCGCAUGGAAGAAGAUUGAAAGACGGCUCUGCUGUCACUUAUAGAUGACCUUGCGGUGCAUUAGUUAGUUGGUGGGGUAACGGCCUACCGAGACGAUGAUGCAUAGCCGACCAGAGAGGGUGAUCGGCCAAAUUGGGUCGGAGACACGGCCCAAACUCCUACGGGAGUCAGCAGGAGGGAAGCUUCCGCAAUGGGCGAAAGCCUGACGGAGCAAUGCCGCGUGAGUGAAGAAGGCCUUCGGGUCGUAAAACUCUGUUAUAAGAGAAGAACAAAUUGUAGAGUAACUGCUACAGUCUUGACGGUAUCUUAUCAGAAAGCCACGGCUAACUACGUGCCAGCCGCCGCCGUAA
rnacentral:rRNA from 1 species